rnacentral:rRNA from 1 species
UACAGAGGGUGCAAGCGUUAAUCGGAAUUACUGGGCGUAAAGCGUGCGUAGACGGUUAUUUAAGUCGGGUGUGAAAGCCCCGGGCUCAACCUGGGAAUUGCAUUCGAGACUGAAUAGCUAGGGUGCGGAAGAGGGAAGCGGAAUUUCCGGUGUAGCGGUGAAAUGCGUAGAUAUCGGAAGGAACAUCAGUGGCGAAAGCGACUUCCUGGACCAAUACUGACGCUCAUGUGCGAAAGCGUGGGGAGCAAACAGG